CGUAUCUUAAAACGCAUGGCCAUCACAAUCAUCUGGUCAGCGGGAACAGGAGUCAUGACGUCAUAUGAUACAUACUCUGGGAAGGCACACGCUACCAGAAACUUCCGUACCACGUGACAAAUACGACACCACUGUAAUCGAAAACAGCCAAGUAGUCGAGCAGUACAACGUCUACACUAAUAGCUGUUCAGUUGUGACGAGGAUUCCUGGGCCUAACGGGGUUGUGUGUUUUUUUACUCUUGCUCCCAGAAGUAAGGGUGAGAAAGAAUUGUUGCCUUUGUUUGUGUGUACCCGGGUCGAGAAACUAAGAAUGGGGGCAAGCAAAGGGGAGCAAGGAAUAUGGAAUUGUAACUGAUAAACAAUGAAAACAAAUCGAGGACAUGGCCGAGAAUCGAACCUCGUCCAGAUCAGGCUUCGUUGUGCCAUUCAAGUCACAAGCCGUCAUCAUCAUGGCCCUACAACCACACAACAGGGCUAUUAAUCACUCUGAUAACCGUUACAAAAGGAGCCAUAGAUAAACGUCUCAACAACAA